UACGUAGGGUCCAAGCGUUAAUCGGAAUUACUGGGCGUAAAGCGUGCGCAGGCGGUUCUGAAAGUCAGCUGUGAAAUCCCCGGGCUUAACCUGGGAAUUGCGCUUGAAACUAGGUCGCUAGAGUGUGGCAGAGGGGGGUGGAAUUCCACGUGUAGCAGUGAAAUGCGUAGAGAUGUGGAGGAACACCGAUGGCGAAGGCAGCCCCCUGGGUCAACACUGACGCUCAUGCACGAAAGCGUGGGGAGCAAACCGG
rnacentral:rRNA from 1 species